rnacentral:rRNA from 1 species
AGAGUUUGAUCCUGGCUCAGAGCGAACGCUGGCGGCAGGCCUAACACAUGCAAGUCGAACGGACCCUUCGGGGUUAGUGGCGGACGGGUGAGUAACACGUGGGAACGUGCCUUUAGGUUCGGAAUAGCUCCUGGAAACGGGUGGUAAUGCCGAAUGUGCCCUUCGGGGGAAAGAUUUAUCGCCUUUAGAGCGGCCCGCGUCUGAUUAGCUUGUUGGUGAGGUAAUGGCUCACCAAGGCUACGAUCAGUAGCUGGUCUGAGAGGAUGACCAGCCACAUUGGGACUGAGACACGGCCCAAACUCCUACGGGAGGCAGCAGUGGGGAAUCUUGCGCAAUGGGCGAAAGCCUGACGCAGCCAUGCCGCGUGUAUGAUGAAGGUCUUAGGAUUGUAAAAUACUUUCACCGGUGAAGAUAAUGACUGUAGCCGGAGAAGAAGCCCCGGCUAACUUCGUGCCAGCAGCCGCGGUAAUACGAAGGGGGCUAGCGUUGCUCGGAAUUACUGGGCGUAAAGGGAGCGUAGGCGGACAUUUAAGUCAGAGGUGAAAUCCCGGAGCUUAACUUCGGAACUGCCUUUGAUACUGGAUGUCUUGAGUGUGAGAGAGGUAUGUGGAACUCCGAGUGUAGAGGUGAAAUUCGUAGAUAUUCGGAAGAACACCAGUGGCGAAGGCGACAUACUGGCUCAUUACUGACGCUGAGGCUCAAAAGCGUGGGGAGCAAACAGGAUUAGAUACCCUGGUAGUCCACGCCGUAAACGAUGAUUGCUAGUUGUCGGGGAGUUUACUUCUCGGUGACGCA